ACGUAGGGGGCAAGCGUUGUCCGGAUUUAUUGGGCGUAAAGAGCGUGUAGGCGGUUAUACAGGUCCGCUGUGAAAACUGGAGGCUUAACCUCCAGACGUCGGUGGAAGCCGUAUAACUAGAGUCCGGAAGAGGAGAGUGGAAUUCCUGGUGUAGCGGUGAAAUGCGCAGAUAUCAGGAAGAACACCCGUGGCGAAAGCGGCUCUCUGGGACGGUACUGACGCUGAGACGCGAAAGCGUGGGGAGCGAACAGGA
rnacentral:rRNA from 1 species